AGUGAACGCUGGCGGUAGGCCUAACACAUGCAAGUCGAACGGCAGCACAGUAAGAGCUUGCUCUUACGGGUGGCGAGUGGCGGACGGGUGAGGAAUACAUCGGAAUCUACUUUUUCGUGGGGGAUAACGUAGGGAAACUUACGCUAAUACCGCAUACGACCUACGGGUGAAAGCAGGGGAUCUUCGGACCUUGCGCGAUUGAAUGAGCCGAUGUCGGAUUAGCUAGUUGGCGGGGUAAAGGCCCACCAAGGCGAAGAUCCGUAGCUGGUCUGAGAGGAUGAUCAGCCACACUGGAACUGAGACACGGUCCAGACUCCUACGGGAGGCAGCAGUGGGGAAUAUUGGACAAUGGGCGCAAGCCUGAUCCAGCCAUACCGCGUGUGUGAAGAAGGCCUUCGGGUUGUAAAGCCCUUUUGUUGGGAAAGAAAAGCAGUAGGUUAAUACCCCGCUGUUCUGACGGUACCCAAAGAAUAAGCACCGGCUAACUUCGUG
rnacentral:rRNA from 1 species